UACAGAGGGUGCGAGCGUUAAUCGGCAUUACUGGGCGUAAAGCGCACGUAGGUGGCGACGUAAGUCGGGUGUGAGAGCCCCGGGCUCAACCUGGGAAUUGCAUUCGAGACUGCAUUGCUGGAGUACGGAAGAGGAGGGCGGAAUUCCCGGUGUAGCGGUGAAAUGCGUAGAUAUCGGGAGGAACAUCAGUGGCGAAGGCGGCCCUCUGGUCCAGUACUGACACUCAAGUGCGAAAGCGUGGGGAGCAAAUAGG
rnacentral:rRNA from 1 species